rnacentral:rRNA from 1 species
CCUACGGGGGGCAGCAGUGGGGAAUAUUGCGCAAUGGGCGAAAGCCUGACGCAGCGACGCCGCGUGAGGGAUGAAGGUCUUCGGAUCGUAAACCUCUGUCAGCAGGGAAGAACAGUCCCUGUGCUACUCAGCCGUGAAUUGCCGGUACCUGCCCAGGCAGCACCGGCUAACUCCGGGCCAGCAGCCGCGGUAAUACGGAGGGUGCGGGCGUUAAUCGGAAUUACUGGGCGUAAAGCGCUCGUAGGCGGUAUGUCAAGUCAAUGGUGAAAUCCCCGCGCUCAACGUGGGAACUGCCUUUGAAACUGGCAAACUGGAGUGUGGGAGAGGAUAGUGGAAUUCCAGGUGUAGGAGUGAAAUCCGUAGAUAUCUGGAGGAACAUCAGUGGCGAAGGCGACUAGCUGGAACAUAACUGACGCUGAGGAGCGAAAGCGUGGGUAGCAAACAGGAUUAGAUACCCGUGUAGUC